rnacentral:rRNA from 1 species
GAGUUUGAUCAUGGCUCAGAUUGAACGUUUGCGGCAGGUCUCAUACAUGCAAGUCGAACGGGGAUCUCUCCUUCGGGAGAGAAGCCCAGUGGCGGACGGGUGAGUAACGCGUAGGAAUCUGCCCAGUUGAUUGGCAUAACGCCCCUAACCGGGUGCUAAUUCCAAAUAAGACCUAAGGGUGAAAGAGGGGGAUCUUCGGACCUCUCGCGACUGGAGGAGCCUGCGUUGGAUUAGCUAGUUGGUGAGGUAACGGCUCACCAAGGCGACGAUCCAUAGCUGGUCUGAGAGGAUGAUCAGCCACACUGGAACUGAGACACGGUCCAGACUAUUACGAUAGGCAGCAGUAGAGAAUCUUGCGCAAUGAGCGAAAGCUAGACGCAGCCAUGCCGCGUGUGUGAUGAAGGCUCUAGGGUUGUAAAGCACUUUCAACAGCGAAGAUACGCAGCGCGCUAAUACCGCGCUGUUUAGACGUUAACUGUACAAGAAGCACCGGCUAACUCCGUGCCAGCAGCCGCGGUAACCCGGAGGGUGCGAACGUUAAUCGGAAUUACUGGGCGUAAAGCGCACGUAGGCGGUUUGUCAAGUGGGAUGUGAAAGCCCCGGGCUUAACCUGGGAAUUGCAUUUCAAACUAGCAGACUAGAGUGUAGUAGAGGGAGGUGGAAUUUACUGUGUAGCGGUGAAAUGCGUAGAUAUAGUAAGGAACACCAGUGGCGAAGGCGACCUCCUGGACUAACACUGACGCUGAGGAGCGAAAGCGUGGGGAGCAAACAGGAUUAGAUACCCUGGUAGUCCGCGCCGUAAACGAUGAGAACUAGCCGUUCGACCUUUCGGGGUUUAGUGGCGUAGCUAACGCGAUAAGUUCUCCGCCUGGGGAGUACGGCCGCAAGGUUAAAACUCAAAUGAACUGACGGGAGCCCGCACAAGCAGUGGAGCACAUUGUUUAAUUCGAUGCAACGCGAAGAACCUUACCACCUCUUGACAUUCUCGGGACCUCUCAGAGAUGAGAGGGUGCUCGUAAGAGAACCGAUGAACAGGUGUUGCAUGGCUGUCGUCAGCUCGUGUCGUGAGAUGUUGGGUUAAGYCCCGUAACGAGCGCAACCCCUGUCCCUAUUUGCUACAGGUUAGGCUGAGAACUCUAGGGAGACUGCCGGUGACAAACCGGAGGAAGGCGGGGAUGAGGUCAAGUCAUCAUGGCCCUUAUUGAGGUGGGCUACAAAGGUGCUACAAUGGGAGGUACAAAGAGUCGCGAGCCUGCGAGGGUGAGCUAAUCUCAAAAAACCUCUCGUAGUCCGGAUAGGAGUCUGCAACUCGACUCCUUGAAGUUGGAAUUGCUAGUAAUCGCGAAUCAGAACGUCGCGGUGAAUACGUUCCCGGGCUUUGUACACACCGCCCGUA